UAUGAACGCUAGCGGCAGGCAUAAUACAUGCAAGUUGAGCGGGAUUCAGAUAGCAAUAUUUGAUGAGAGUGGCGCACGGGUGCGUAACACGUAUGCAACUUACCUUAAACUGGGAGAUAGCCCGUGGAAGCAUGGAUUAAUAUCCCAUAGUAUAAAGAACAGGCAUUUGUUUUUUAUUAAAGCUCCGGCGGUUUAAGAUGGGCAUGCGCGUCAUUAGCUAGAUGGAGAGGUAACGGCUCACCAUGGCAACGAUGACUAGGGGGUCUGAGAGGAUGUCCCCCCACACUGGUACUGAGACACGGACCAGACUCCUACGGGAGGCAGCAGUAGGGAAUAUUGGGCAAUGGACGCAAGUCUGACCCAGCCAUGCCGCGUGCAGGAAGACGGCCCUCUGGGUUGUAAACUGCUUUUAUCAGGGAAGAAACCCUUCUACGUGUAGGAGGCUGACGGUACCUGAGGAAUAAGGAUCGGCUAACUCCGUGCC
rnacentral:rRNA from 1 species